GAACUGAGGUGACUCAGAAUAAACCCUGAAAAGGACAAGCAGUCUACUCCACAAACCUUGUCCUCGUACUACCUCGUAUUGCCUUGUAUUACCUCUGAGGCAGCAGACAGGACCACCUCCUCCGCAGCAAGGCCUUGAUGGCAUGAAGGAGAAUCUGUCGACAUACCCCCCCGCCCCUUUUUCCAUCAAUCAAUCAUGCAAAGAAAGAAGGAACGAAAACACAUCGCUCCUAGACAAACAAGCCAGUGGGCAUAUGGCGGUUUGACAGCCAGGACAGGCUGUCUUUUUCCAUCCCUGGAAGGGACGAUGCAUCACUGCAUCCAGCAGGGGACGGGGAGACGGAAAUGAGGAGAGCGGCGCAAACAUAACAGGGG